AAAAAACAACUGUACAAUUCAGGAAAAGGACGAGAAUAAUAAAGAAGAAGACCCAAAUAUCUCAAAUUAAUCCCAAAUAAAUGAAUUUCUCUCACAAAUAAAUCUCCAAUUCUUCUUUUCUCUCUCUCUUCUCUCUCUUCUCUCUC
rnacentral:ribozyme from 13 species